AUGCCACAGGGUGUUACGCAUAGAGGUUGCACAAGUCGUUUAGAAAUUAGAAGAGCGUUGUGUGCUUCCUGUGCAGAUCUGGAACUGGUGAGGCUCUUAGUGACCCUCAGCUCCUGCCAGCCACAUCUGGGUCACCUGCUUGACCUUCUGCCUGCAGAGGUUUCUACACUGUUCUCACAAACACUCAGACAGUCUGACAGAUGCUCCUGGAAAGCUGGGCCUGGUGGGAAGACCCUCUUUGUCUCCACAUCAGACAGCAAGAAGAUCUCUACCUGGCAGAGCUCCCCCAGGAGGUGCCUCCUCUGUUGCCCCCCUGAAAGAAGCCUUCCUGCUUCUGCAAGAAAUAGUUCCAGGUGUGUGAGUCUACCUCCAGCAACAGGAAAGUAGAGGAGCAAACUCCUAAAUGAGACAAUAUUGCUCAAGCCUGCUUUUAAAUGCAUGCAAGAACACGAUGAUGACCGGCACGUCUUUGACGCGUGCAUUCACAUUGCACUGGCACACUCAAGCCUUGGUCUUCUUCUCCGAGUUCUCUUUUUAAGUAAUGCUUUUCCAUCAGUACCACUGAAUGCUUUUGUUACUUCCCACAGAUGACACUUCUUCCUCUGGAUAGUUACUCAGAGGCUGGGUCCCAAGAGAAAGAGGGAAAAAUCUAACCUGGGUAAUUGUGCAGAGUGAGGGAACGUGUCCCAUGUGUCACCCAUGCUGCUCCGCACCUCUGUCAGCAUGCAAAGCUGCACACCAGUCGGCACAUACACAUCUUUUCACCUGGGCUACCAGGCUUCACCUAAAAGACAGCAAAACAUCAAAUCUCACUGCCUAACACUGACACAGCUCAGCCUUCAUAGUUUAAGAAACUGGAGUCAACACCUAACCCUUUCAUUCUAACUGAAAAUAACCUCUCUGAGAAACUGUGAUGCAAUUUAGGAAGAAAUUCCCCAUAUUUGGCAACAAACUUGCCUCAUUCCAGAAACCUUAAAUCACACUGCCUAACCACAGGCAUACUUUUGAUCUGAACAUUAACUCUUUUUCUUUCAUUAAAGGAAAUAUAAUCAUUUCUGCUGAUUUCCAUGUCUGAGAAGAGACAGGAGGACCCAGCUGGGAAUUUCAACUUUUUGUCUGAUUCAUUCCUUUGCCUAAUUUCCCAUCUUCCUAAAUAAACAUCCUUCAUCCUAGAUGUGAAAAGAAAUG
rnacentral:lncRNA from 1 species